AUUGAACGCUGGCGGCAUGCUUUACACAUGCAAGUCGAACGGUAACAGGCCUUCGGGUGCUGACGAGUGGCGAACGGGUGAGUAAUGCAUCGGAACGUACCCAGAGGUGGGGGAUAACGCAGCGAAAGCUGUGCUAAUACCGCAUGUGAUCUGAGGAUGAAAGCGGGGGACCGAGCAGCAAUGUUUGGCCUCGCGCCUUUGGAGCGGCCGAUGUCGGAUUAGCUAGUUGGUGGGGUAAAGGCCUACCAAGGCGACGAUCCGUAGCUGGUCUGAGAGGACGACCAGCCACACUGGGACUGAGACACGGCCCAGACUCCUACGGGAGGCAGCAGUGGGGAAUUUUGGACAAUGGGCGCAAGCCUGAUCCAGCAAUGCCGCGUGCGGGAAGAAGGCCUUCGGGGUGGAAACCGCUUUUGGCAGGAACGAAACGGUGUCCGCUAAUACCGGGCGCUAAUGACGGUACCUGCAGAAUAAGCACCGGCUAACUACGUG
rnacentral:rRNA from 1 species